rnacentral:lncRNA from 1 species
UGUAAAAUUGGUUCAACUUAGUAAUUAGUAAUGACAUUGCGCCACAAUUUCCUACGACACGGAAUUAUUUGAAGAAAACUGGUACAAGGUGACUGAAUAUUGCUGUGAAAAUAUUACUAAAUGUUGCAGGCAGUGUAUGGGGAGAUGGUUUUGUGUUUCUAUUUUUUUUCGGCUGAUCUGAUAAUUAAAACUUUGCAUGGAUAACCUAGAUUGGAGUGAAUCUGACAUAUUACCAUGUCAAGAUACGUUGCUUUUUACGUUUGAUUAAAACUGGCUUGUUGGUUUAGAAGAAGCCGUUCUUUAAAAGAAUUGUCAGGAUUCGUAUUUGAAGAACAGGCGACGGACUUUCAACGAUUCUAAAACCUGACAAUGAUCCGAUCUAAUAUGAAGCAAGAGGAUGGACAUACAAAUGAGGCAUACUAAAUGAAUCAUUCCUGUGCAAUAGUUGUCAUCACACAUUCAGCUGGCAGAAGUGUUAAAAAGCCCACGAUAAAAGGCACAUGUGGUCAACUCCUUAUUUGUGCUACGACGAAAUUUAAAGAAAACUUAAAGACAGGUGGAACCACAGCUUUAAAACAAGAUAUACAAAGAAUCAAGGUAUUGUAACUUGUCAUUUGUGAGUGUUACGUUUCUGGUAUGUCAGGCAAUUGAAGCUUCAUGAUGCAAGGAAGACAGAUAUAAGGAAUUUUACAUAGUCAGUUGUAAAACAGAACAAGGAACUGCAGCUUCAAGGAAUUUUACUGAGUCGUUUGUGAGUUUAACGUUUCGAGUACGUCAUACAGCUGAAGAAUCAUGAUAUUUUACGGUGCGAAAAGACACGGGUGGGAGCACAUAUUGAAAUAUAAGAAGAUUUAAACUAUGUUACUGGAUCUGCAGAUAAGACUCAGCAUACAUUACCCAAACAACAAAAAGUAACAAGACAGCCAUAGGGGCAUUAACUCGUUAUCUGACAUUUCGUAUCAUACCUUGCACUAUUGUGUCUACAUCUGGAUCUCCAGCAAGUUUCUGAAUGUGAGUAGUUGACUUUGCACAAUUUAGUCAUAUAUGUUGAAUCUCGAUCUGCCGCUAAUUUAUAAACAUGUAACAGUAUUAAUGUGUUGUUCUUUCAAGACUGAAAAUCUAACUUUAAAUUACCAUGUCUUUAAAAAUAUUUUUAUCAUCAAAUUCUUAUAGGAAAGAUCAGUCUCUUUGACUUACCGAUCUCACAUUUCAUGCAGCCUACGUUUCACGAUGUUGAAAAGUAAGUCAAUCGCUACUGUAUGUAUUACAAGUUAUCAAAUUCAUUUAGCAUCGAUGCAGUGGUAUUGAAUUUAUUUCAACGUUAUAAGGAGUAGCGAUCGCGAGAAUUCAACAGAAAAAAAGAAAGACAUUGAAAAUAUACAGAAAGAUUUUGUGUUUGAAGGCAAUAUAAAUUCACUACAACAAAAUGUCUAUGUGUCCAGAGACAUAAACUCAUAGGUUGAACAACAGUUUGUAAAGGAAGGGGUAUAUUCUAUAACUGAGAAUGUAACCAAAGUAAGAAGAUGACAUGUCAUGCAGGUUGAGUUUAAUGUUGAUAAAAACUAAGAUAAUUGUAUUUUGCAACAUCUCAGUUCCAUCCUAUACACAAAACAUAAAUGUAUAUAGCAGUGACCUUGAUUGAUAUGAACAUUUUUAGAAGUAACGCCAAUAAAAUAUAUUGAGAGACAUUUAGAAUAUCCCGAACUGAAGAUUCGUGAUAUUAAGAAGUAUGAUAUUCGGAAUUUUGAAAUCAAUAUAUUAAUAUAUUACAAUAAAAAUGCAGUGAUCCCGAGAGUUAUUUUCAUUUGAAAAGGUGUAACUGCAAUAAACAGUGCUAGAGUGAUUAAAUAUUAACUAAAGGGAAGUUACCAUCAUGUAAAUUCAAUGAAUAUAAUGUUCCUGUAUCAUUUAAAUACAUCUUACUUGAGAUUAUAUAUGUGUAUCAGCUAUUU